rnacentral:rRNA from 1 species
CCUGCCAGUAGUCAUAUGCUUCGGUCAAGGACUAAGCCAUGCAUGUCUCAGCGCAAAUGGUGCAACAGUUGGUCUGUGAAUGGCUCCUUACAUCAGCAGUCAUCUAUGUGACAGAGUGUGCUUGGCCAAGAUGCAUGGCCCAAUGGACAUCCUCCAAAACUUGGUGGCUAAUACACGCAUGAUCAUGUCUGCCACAUCAUGUGUUCCAGGCUCUGCCUGUGUUCACAGUGGUGGACUGCAACCAGCUAUUGAAAGACCAGUGCCAGAGAAUGGCAGCGUUGAGUAGCUGAAUCAUGCUGGUCCAAUUGGACAUUGCGCUGGCAAAGCCUGUGAUAUCUUCACACUUGCUUGAUCACAUGAACUUCUGACCUAUCAGCUCGGACUGUGGUGUUGUGGACCACAGUGGCCUCAACGGGUGACGGAGAAUUUGGGUUUGAUUCCGGAGAGGGAGCCUGAGAGACGGCUACCACUACCAAGGUGGGCAGCAGGCACGCAAAUUGCCCAAUACAAAAGCAGCUUGUGAGGCAGCAACGAUCUGCAGCAAACCUGCUUGCUUCUAGCAGGCAGGACUUGGAAUGGAUGCUAUCCAAACACAGCCAUGAGCAACAACUGGAGGGCAAGUCUGGUGCCAGCAGCCGCGGUAAUUCCAGCUCCAAGGGCGUAUACUAACAUUGCUGCUGUUAAAACACUUGUAGUCUGCCUCAGGGCUGCAGGUCUGCCAAGUGGCCGGUUCAUGGUGUCUUGACACAGUGGGCUGGAUCUCAACCCUUGGCAGUAUGAGCCUGCUCCCAACCAGUGAUGGUGGAGAUGCUCCUGCGUGAAGUCUCCUUCAGUGGAGGCCAAAGCAACCUUGCAAGAGAACGCGUGCCUGGGCAAACUCGAGGACACAGCCUUGUGCUUGUGCAGUUUUAAGCCUCAGCCCGAAAUCGGAGUGCACCAUCAAAGCAAUCCUGGGAAACUCAAUGUGCUCAAAGCAACCACAAGUGGCUGAAUGUCUAUCCAGGAGAAUGCAAAGCAUUGACCGGUUAUGGCUCAGAGUUGUGCUGGCCUUGGUGCCAAAUCAGGACAAUGUGGGGCUUGCCUCAGCCUGAGACAUGGAUCACUCUAUGUGUUUCCUUGAAUCAGUGUUGAUGGCUUGCUUCCAACCAGACAUGAUGGGAUUGUUCAGAGUGGCAGAGACUGCAGCGCCAGAGGUGAAAUUCUUAGACCGCUGCAUGAUCCACAGCGGCGAAGGCGUUCUGCACAUCCAUGUCCGUCGAUCAAGAAUGAGAGUGUGGGGAGCAAAGAUGAUCAGACACCGUCGUAGUCCACUGCAGUAAACUAUGCCAGCUCGGCUUUGGUGAGGCAAGAACAGAGACUUCAUCAGUGCCAUGCCCCUACACCGAGAAAUCCACAGCCUGUGGGUUCAGGGGGGAGUACUGUCGCAAGGCUGAAACUUAAAGGAAUUGACGGAAUGGCACCACAAGGCGUGGAGUAUGCGGCUUAAUUUGACUCAACACGGGGAAUGUUACCAGGUCAGGACCUUGCCAGGAUGGACAGAUUGAGAGCUCUUUCUUGAUCCAAUGGAUGGUGGUGCAUGGCCGCUCCUGAUUGGUGGAGUGAUUUGUCUGGUUGAUUCCGAUAACGAGUGAGAUAUCUGCCUUCCACUAGGCACAGUGACGCAUUUGGUAGGGUUGGCCUUUCAGAGUCUGCAGUAACCUCGGUUGCUGUAGCUCUGCUGGGUCCCCGAGUCUGCUGUGGCCAAUCUUCUCUGAGGUGCUAUGUCUACUGCCAAAGGCACGCAUGCUAGAGCCAACAGCAGGUCUGUGAUGCUCCCAGAUGUCCUGGGCCGCACGCGCACUACAUUGACUCAGUGAAGGUGUUCUGCUUCCCUUGUGGAGCCCUGCUCAGAAGUGAGUGGGAAAUCAUGCAAAACUGUGCUGUACUGGGGAUAGAUGAUUGCAACUGUCUGCCUUGAACGAGGAAUGCCUAGUAGGCUUGUGUCAUCAGCACAAACCGAUUGUGUCCCUGCCAUUUGUACACACCGCCCGUCGUUGCUACCGAUGAGAGCCGGAUAGAGCCAUCCGGAGACAGAUGUUCCACAGAGUGCUUCAGUCAAAAUUGGGCAAUGCCCAGCUCUUAGAGGAAGCAAAAGUC